rnacentral:rRNA from 1 species
UACAGAGGGGGCAAGCGUUGUUCGGAAUUACUGGGCGUAAAGGGCGCGUAGGCGGCCCGCUAAGUCGAACGUGAAAUCCCCGAGCUCAACUCGGGAACUGCGUCCGAUACUGGCGGGCUUGAAUCCGGGAGAGGGAUGCGGAAUUCCAGGUGUAGCGGUGAAAUGACGCAGAUAUCAGGAAGAACACCAAUGGCGAAAGCAGCUUCUGGGACGGUACUGACGCUGAGACGCGAAAGCGUGGGGAGCGAACAGG